AGCCAAAGAAUUCCCUUUUCUUUAUAAAUGACCCAGCCUCAGCUGGGAAAGCGGAAAUCUGGAGAACUAAAAUAUCUUGCUGAAGAUCACAAUGCAGUAAAGCAUAGGGCAAGUUUCCAACUCGAACAUCACCCCAGAACACUUCCUUUUAAACAUAAAUUAUGUUGCUAACUUUUUUAUUGUUACUUAGCAGGCAGAUUUCAAACUGAUACAAAUGUUGAAAAUGAUACAAAAUGUUUUCCCACCUUAAAGGCAUUCUGAAACCUAGCACAUAACAUCUGUCACUGAAGUCCAUAGUUUCCAAUGCCAUGAUUGGAUAAAGACCCUAUUGAGACUCAUGUGUUUGUCUCUCACUGCUUAAAACACUCAUGUGUUUUAAGCAACAUGACAAGCACAAAAGAGAACAAGUACUGCUCCUGCUCUCCAGGAAGUUACCAUAAAAUAAAGGGGAUAAGGUGCCUUCCAAAGAAAAAACAAAUACUAGGAGAGGUCAGAGGAGAAGAGAGAUUAUUCCAGAAGGAGAGACUGAGGCAGAUUUCAGGAGGGAAGAAUAUAAGAGUCCCAAAAGAAGAAACAGGAACCCAGGUUAGAGAGCAAUGGGCAAGGGGUAGGAGGUGAGACUAAACUCACAAGGAAGUUGCUUCAAAACAAUAGUGCCCCAAAUGCCAAGCUGAUGGGUUGGACCCAUUUAGGAAAAACCCACAAAGUCCACAGGAGAGCAGACUGCACUUCCAUGAGCUUCAAGCUGUAAACAGUAACCUCAAAUAAAACUUUUCCCGGAUCGGUAAUUUCCAUCCUGAACAAUGGCCAAGUCAAGGAAGCUGAGGAUCGAGCCCCCUACCGCAUGCCACAAAGAACCUCAAGGGACCCCAUGCUCUGGGGAGCUCGCAGGAGGACCAGCACAGAGGUGUGACUGCGUUGGGGCAGGGUGGCCACAUGUACAAUGUUGUACCUUCCAAUGUUCCUCCUUAGGCUGUGCUUAUGAAGUCCCAACAUGUCUUCUGGGCUGUGUUUUCAACCAAGAGAGUUAAUAAAAAGUGGGAUGGGCACCAACUAUGCCUCCAGAGACAUCAGGCAGAAUAUGCCACAGCGUGCCAUGUCCUCCUGCAAACAGUCAGAAAGAAAAGAUCUCUAAAAGCAGAUUGGAAGAGACUAUAUAUACAGAGCGAGUGCCGGUACAGAAGUUUUGCUGCAAAUACACCCUCUAAUCCCUUGCAACCCACUGCAAGCUCGAGAGACCAGUGCCCUUGGUAAAACAUAGGAGAGAUCAUUAAUUAAAGCCUAGGCCCUUUCUUUGAUCCUGAGGGAUAAGGCUUGGGAAAAUGCACAGUGAUAAAAGUGAACAUUUUAAAAGAGCAGAGUGAGUGUGAAUUCCCAAAGAGACCAUUCAUAUCAAGACCCAAGCCAUGAGAAAAUGCUACAAUGCCCUUGAUCAAUACUUUAUAGGCAUUUUGACCUCAGAUCUAAUCCCAUGAGGCUUAGACCAAGACCUUGCUUGAUGCAGACCUCUCUGACUGCUGAAAUUGGUCAGGAGCUCAGUGAUGAAAAUUUGGAAAGUCAAUGCUGAUACCUGAAGAAAGUCCCAUCAGAGAUCUGUGACCUGAAUCUUCAUAACUUUCACAGGCCCUUUCUAAAUGCCAAGGAGGAUGUGUGUGGAGAAGAAUAUGCCACCUAUGGCAUCCCAAUAUGCCUGUGCCCGCCUGCUCUUCAACAAGGGAAUGAAACCUGGGUAUUCUCAUAGGUUUUUUAAAGCACUUGUCCACAUAUUUUAUUCCGCAAAUAACACAAUUUAAAAUUCAGCUAGAAUUUGCCAUUUUCUGUCAGGGUUGUGCAUUUCUUCCAGUCACCAUGACUUCCUGAGAUAGCCAAAACACAAAAUUUAAAUUGUGUUUAAAUUAAAUAAACACAAUUUAUGCUGAAGCUGACUUUACCCACUCUGUUCCAACAUUACUUAUCCUCAGCAUCUCUGAAUUCAAAUAUCAGCCAGGUGUGGUGGCUCAUACCUGUAAGCCCAGCACUUUGGCAAGCCAAGAUGGGAAGGUUGCUUGAGGAGUUGGAGACCAGCCUGGGCAACAUAGCAAGACCCCCAUCUCUACAAAAAAAUUAAAAAAUUAGCCAGGCAUGGUGGUAUGCACCUUUAGUCCUAGCUACUUGGGAGGCUGAGGUGAGAAGAUCACUUGAGCCCAGGAGCUUGAGGUGGCAGUGAGUCAUGAUCAUACCACUGCACUGUAGCCUGAGCAACAGAGCAAGACCCCAUCCCUUAAAAAAAAUACCUGCCCUCUGUACUUCAUAGCACCUGGGGCAUUUUGAACAGUUCUUCCUUCACCUGAGGUCAUUAUUUGAGAAUCCAAUUUUAGAGACUACAAUGCUCUCAUUACUUGGAUUGUAUCAUUUAAUCUUCCCAACAAUCCAGGAAGGGGAGUCUCUUAAUGAUUGUCCUUGAUUUCCAGUUAAAAAAUCUAGACCCAGAGGUAACCUUGUGAAGGUCACAGAGUUUCAGAGUUCUAAGAUCCCAUGCGAGAUUGCUGAACUUGAACUUGUUUCUUCUGAUCUCAUGUCAAUAAGUGACUUAGUCAACACCUGGGUAGAAAUCAUCACUAAAGUGAGAAAGCACAUGGUGAGGGGGAUGAAUCCUGUGCCCACAUGGUCCCUUUCACCUGCCCAAUCCUCAGGCCUCUCACCUGGGGUACCCCUCACACACAUGGCACUUUCCUGAACUCAUGGACAUUUCAGUUUGUAACGAUCCUCCUAAGAUUAUCUACUUUCACCUAUCCACAUUUGAACUAUACUUCUUUAGUGGAAAAAAAGAAAUAAAGCCAGUGCUGAGAAUGAUCAAACUCCAGAAA
rnacentral:lncRNA from 1 species